rfam:Loxodonta africana unplaced genomic scaffold scaffold_45, whole genome shotgun sequence.
GCAGUGGUGGGUCAGUGGUAGAAUUCUUUCCUUCCAUGUGAGGGACCCAGGUUCAAUUCCCAGCCAGUGCA